rnacentral:rRNA from 1 species
GAUGAACGCUGGCGGCGUGCUUAACACAUGCAAGUCGAACGGAAAGGCCCAAGCUUGCUGGGGUACUCGAGUGGCGAACGGGUGAGUAACACGUGGGUGAUCUGCCCUGCACUUUGGGAUAAGCCUGGGAAACUGGGGCUAAUACCGGAUAGGACGAUGGGUUGGAUGCUGUGGGGUAGAGUUUUUUCGGUGUGGGGUGAGCUCGCGGGCUAUCAGCUUGUUUGUGGGGUAGUGGCCUACCCAGGCGUUGACGGGUAGCCGCCCUGUGAGGGUGUAAGGCGACAUUGUGACAGUGAUACAGGCCAGAGUCUUACGCGGGGGAGCAAUGGGGAAUAUUGCACAAUAGGGGCGAGCCUGAUGUAGAGAAGCGGCGUGGGCGAUGACGGCGUCUGGGUUGUAAAAUCCUUUCGCUAGGGACACAGCGCUUUUGUGACGGUACCUGGAGAAGAAGCACCGGCUAACUACGUG